rnacentral:rRNA from 1 species
GCACAAGCAGCGGAGCGUGUGGUUUAAUUCGAUGCUACACGGAGAACCUUACCAGGGUUUGACAUACAAGUAGUAGGGAAAGGAAACUGGACCGACCCUUCGGGGAGCUUGAACAGGUGCUGCAUGGCUGUCGUCAGCUCGUGUCGUGAGAUGUUCGGUUAAGUCCGCUAACGAGCGCAACCCUCGCUGUGUGUUACAAGUGUCACACGGAACUGCCGGUCAUAAACCGGAGGAAGGUGGGGAUGACGUCAAGUCAGCAUGGCCUUUAUAUCCUGGGCUACACACACGCUACAAUGGGAAGGGACAAUAGGUUGCGAAACCGCGAGGUGGAGCCAAUCCAGCAAAACUUCCCUCAGUUCAGAUUGCAGGCUGCAACUCGCCUGCAUGAAGUUGGAGUUGCUAGUAAACGCAGGUCAGCCAUACUGCGUUGAAUACGUUCCCGGGGCUU